rnacentral:rRNA from 1 species
AAUAGAUACCCCGGUAGUCCACGCCGUAAACGAUGUCGACUUGGAGGUUGUGCCCUUGAGGCGUGGCUUCCGGAGCUAACGCGUUAAGUCGACCGCCUGGGGAGUACGACCGCAAGGUUAAAACUCAAAUGAAUUGACGGGGGGCCCGCACAAGCGGUGGAGCAUGUGGUUUAAUUCGAUGCAACGCGAAGAACCUUACCUACUCUUGACAUCCAGAGAACUUAGCAGAGAUGCUUUGGUGCCUUCGGGAACUCUGAGACAGGUGCUGCAUGGCUGUCGUCAGCUCGUGUUGUGAAAUGUUGGGUUAAGUCCCGCAACGAGCGCAACCCUUAUCCUUUGUUGCCAGCGGUUAGGCCGGGAACUCAAAGGAGACUGCCAGUGAUAAACUGGAGGAAGGUGGGGAUGACGUCAAGUCAUCAUGGCCCUUACGGAGUAGGGCUACACACGUGCUACAAUGGCAUAUACAAAAGAGAAGCGACCUCGCGAGAGCAAGCGGACCUCAUAAACGUAUGUCGUAGUCCGGAUUGGAGUCUGACC